UGAGAAUAAGCUGAAAAUCAAAGGAAAAGCUGAAGCUGCUAUUUGCUGCUUUGAAAAAAAAGCCAGUUUUUUCAAAGCACACGGAGCUACAAUGCUCCUUUAAUGAAAAGACACACUAUCAUCCUGCUUUUUUUUUUCCAAAAGCACUUUCACAAAAAAGUUUACCAAACACUCUACUGGCUUUAUUUCACAGCCGCUUAUUCUCACAGCACAGCCGCUUAUUCUCACAGCAGUUUUUUUUCAAAGCACAGCAAUACCAAACCAGCCCUG
rnacentral:lncRNA from 1 species